rnacentral:rRNA from 1 species
CGGGGGGGUAAGCGUUGUUCGGAAUUACUGGGCGUAAAGGGCUCGUAGGCGGCCAACUAAGUCAUACGUGAAAUCCCUCAGCUUAACUGGGGAACUGCGUGUGAUACUGGAUGGCUUGGAUUUGGGAGAGGGAUGCGGAAUUCCAGGUGUAGCGGUGAAAUGCGUAGAUAUCUGGAGGAACACCGGUGGCGAAGGCGGCAUCCUGGACCAAUAUUGACGCUGAGGAGCGAAAGCCAGGGGAGCAAACGGGAUUAGAUACCCCGGUAGUCCUGGCCCUAAACGAUGAAUGCUUGGUGUAGCGGGUAUCGAUCCCUGCUGUGCCGAAGCUAACGCAUUAAGCAUUCCGCCUGGGGAGUACGGUCGCAAGGCUG